rnacentral:rRNA from 1 species
UACGAAGGGGGCUAGCGUUGCUCGGAAUCACUGGGCGUAAAGGGUGCGUAGGCGGGUCUUUAAGUCAGGGGUGAAAUCCUGGAGCUCAACUCCAGAACUGCCUUUGAUACUGAGGAUCUUGAGUCCGGGAGAGGUGAGUGGAACUGCGAGUGUAGAGGUGAAAUUCGUAGAUAUUCGGAAGAACACCAGUGGCGAAGGCGACUCACUGGACACGUAUUGACGCUGAGGUGCGAAAGCGUGGGGAGCAAACAGG